rnacentral:misc_RNA from 1 species
GGCACCAACUCGCGAUACUAGCAAAUCCCAUAAACCGUGGCUCAGUUCAGAUCGUAGGCUGCAACUCGCCUACGUGAAGUAGGAAUCGCUAGUAAUCGCAGGUCAGCAUACUGCGGUGAAUACGUUCCCGGGCCUUGUACACACCGCCCGUCACACCAUGGAAGUUGGCCAUGCCCGAAGUCGUUACUCCAACCCUUGUGGAGGAGGACGUCGAAGGUGGGGCUAAUGACUGGGGUGAAGUCGUAACAAGGUAGCCGUACCGGAAGGUGCGGCUGGAUCACCUCCUAACAGGGAGACAACAAAAUGUUUAAUAUUAUUAUUUUGUCACCUUAGGUCGAUCGGUAUCUCACGUUCUUAAUUUGUUAAGAAUUUCAUUUCCUAAGUUUUUCUAGGUCACACCCAUUAUUUUUCCUGGGCCAUUAGCUCAGGUGGUUAGAGCGCACCCCUGAUAAGGGUGAGGUCCCUGGUUCAAGUCCAGGAUGGCCCAUAUCUCUAUGUUGGGGGUAUAGCUCAGUUGGUAGAGCGCCUGCUUUGCAAGCAGGAUGUCAGCGGUUCGAGUCCGCUUACCUCCACUGAUUACCACCUCUUACAUAACUGGUAAAAAGGAAAUGUUUUGAGUUGUGAUCAUUAUUCUGAACGAAUCUAGCUUCCUAAUGAAAUCAUUAAGAUGCUGGACUCAUUGAAUUAAUUUCAUUGUUUUCAGAGAACCUUGACAACUGCAUAGAUUAUUUUUAAAGACAAUAAGCAUCUUUAAUGAUGCAGAUUUAUUAUUUGUGCGAAUNCAUUAAUAANAAUUCUAUUAAGCUGAUGCUUCAAUUUUUUGAAGUUAUUGGUCAAGCUACAAAGGGCUCACGGAGGAUACCUAGGCACACAGAGGCGAUGAAGGACGUGGUUACCUGCGAUAAGUCUCGGGGAGUUGGAAGCACACUUUGAUCCGGGAAUUUCCGAAUGGGGCAACCCCAUGUACGGCCAACUGAAUAUAUAGGUUGGUGCGAGCUAACCCAGCGAACUGAAACAUCUGU